UGCAGUCGAGCGGAUGAAGGGAGCUUGCUCCUGGAUUCAGCGGCGGACGGGUGAGUAAUGCCUAGGAAUCUGCCUGGUAGUGGGGGAUAACGUCCGGAAACGGGCGCUAAUACCGCAUACGUCCUGAGGGAGAAAGUGGGGGAUCUUCGGACCUCACGCUAUCAGAUGAGCCUAGGUCGGAUUAGCUAGUUGGUGGGGUAAAGGCCUACCAAGGCGACGAUCCGUAACUGGUCUGAGAGGAUGAUCAGUCACACUGGAACUGAGACACGGUCCAGACUCCUACGGGAGGCAGCAGUGGGGAAUAUUGGACAAUGGGCGAAAGCCUGAUCCAGCCAUGCCGCGUGUGUGAAGAAGGUCUUCGGAUUGUAAAGCACUUUAAGUUGGGAGGAAGGGCAGUAAGUUAAUACCUUGCUGUUUUGACGUUACCAACAGAAUAAGCACCGGCUAACUUCGUGCCAGCAGCCGCGGUAAUACGAAGGGUGCAAGCGUUAAUCGGAUUUACUGGGCGUAAAGCGCGCGUAGGUGGUUCAGCAAGUUGGAUGUGAAAUCCCCGGGCUCAACCUGGGAACUGCAUCCAAAACUACUGAGCUAGAGUACGGUAGAGGGUGGUGGAAUUUCCUGUGUA
rnacentral:rRNA from 1 species